GAUGAACGCUGGCGGCGUGCCUAAUACAUGCAAGUCGAGCGAACGGACGAGAAGCUUGCUUCUCUGAUGUUAGCGGCGGACGGGUGAGUAACACGUGGAUAACCUACCUAUAAGACUGGGAUAACUUCGGGAAACCGUAGCUAAUACCGGAUAAUAUUUUGAACCGCAUGGUUCAAAAGUGAAAGACGGUUUUGCUGUCACUUAUAGAUGGAUCCGCGCUGCAUUAGCUAGAUGGUAAGGUAACGGCUUACCAAGGCAACGAUGCAUAGCCGACCUGAGAGAGGGAUAGGCCACCCUGGAGGGGAGACGCCGUCCAUGCGCCUACGGGAGGCAGCAGUAGGGAAUCGUCCGCAAUGGGCGAAAGCCUUACGGAGCAACGGCACGUGAGUGAUGAAGGUCUUCGGAUCGUAAAACUCUGUUACGAGGGAAGAACAUAUGUGUAAGUAGCUGUGCACAUCGUGACGGUACCUAAUCAGAAAGCCACGGCUAACUACGUG
rnacentral:rRNA from 1 species